CAGCAACGUCCCCACAAACAGCCGUGAGGUGAGCGAGUGGCUGUAUCCGGGGAUUGUCGGCCCGGACACCGGGAGAGAGAGAGAGAGAGAGAGAGAAAGUCCCUUCUCUUA